rnacentral:rRNA from 1 species
GUGGGGAAUUUUGCGCAAUGGGCGAAAGCCUGACGCAGCGACGCCGCGUGUGCGAUGAAGGCCUUUGGGUCGUAAAGCACUGUCGACCGGGACGAAAACUCACGGGCUAAUACCUCGUGAGCUUGACGGUACUGGUAAAGGAAGCACCGGCUAACUCUGUGCCAGCAGCCGCGGUAAUACAGAGGGUGCAAACGUUGCUCGGAAUUAUUGGGCGUAAAGCGCGUGUAGGCGGUUCGUUAAGUCGGUUGUGAAAACCCAUGGCUCAACCAUGGAAGUGCGGCUGAAACUGGCGAACUGGAGUCCUGACGAGGAUGGCGGAAUUCCCAGUGUAGAGGUGAAAUUCGUAGAUAUUGGGAGGAACACCGGUGGCGAAGGCGGCCAUCUGGGCAGGCACUGACGCUGAGACGCGAAAGCGUGGGGAGCAAACAGGAUUAGAAACCCGAGUAGUCC